rnacentral:rRNA from 1 species
GGUGAACGCUGGCGGCGUGCCUAAGACAUGCAAGUCGAGCGGGGCAGGUUUAUACCUGUUCAGCGGCGGACGGGUGAGUAACGCGUGGGUGACCUACCCGGAAGAGGCGGACAACCUGGGGAAACCCAGGCUAAUCCGCCAUGUGGUCCUGUCCUGUGGGGCAGGACUAAAGGGUGGAUAGCCCGCUUCCGGAUGGGCCCGCGUCCAUCAGCUAGUUGGUGGGGUAAAGGCCCACCAAGGCGACGACGGGUAGCCGGUCUGAGAGGAUGGCCGGCCACAGGGGAACUGAGACACGGGCCCCACUCCUACGGGAGGCAGCAGUUAGGAAUCUUCCGCAAUGGGCGCAAGCCUGACGGAGCGACGCCGCUUGGAGGAGGAAGCCCUUCGGGGUGUAAACUCCUGAACUGGGGACGAAAGCCCCGUGUAGGGGGAUGACGGUACCCAGGUAAUAGCGCCGGCCAACUCCGUG